rnacentral:ribozyme from 1 species
CCCUUAUCAUAUCUCAAUAGCCUCUAAGUGGCAUAAGGGACUAUUAGCACUAAAGUUGUGAAGCUAAUGAUUGA